rnacentral:rRNA from 1 species
UGGGGAAUAUUGCACAAAUGGGCCGCAAGCCUGAUGCAGCCAUGCCGCGUGUGUGAAGAAGGCCUUCGGGUUGUAAAGCACUUUCAGCGAGGAGGAAGGUGGUGAACUUAAUACGUUCAUCAAUUGACGUUACUCGCAGAAGAAGCACCGGCUAAUUCCGUGCCAGCAGCCGCGGUAAUACGGAGGGUGCAAGCGUUAAUCGGAAUUACUGGGCGUAAAAGCGCACGCAGGCGGUUUGUUAAGUCAGAUGUGAAAUCCCCGGGCUCAACCUGGGAACUGCAUUUGAAACUGGCAAGCUAGAGUCUCGUAGAGGGGGGUAGAAUUCCAGGUGUAGCGGUGAAAUGCGUAGAGAUCUGGAGGAAUACCGGUGGCGAAGGCGGCCCCCUGGACGAAGACUGACGCUCAGG